AGAGCAGCGGGAGCGCGGCGCAAGGGCAAAAUGGAUCGUUGGUACCCGGAAGCCCGUUCAAACUGUAUAAGGGUGAUCAGCUAUCACGGAGAAGGCUUUAGCAAGUCGGGGCCAGUGGCGCAAUGGAUAACGCGUCUGACUACGGAUCAGAAGAUUCUAGGUUCGACUCCUGGCUGGCUCGCGAUGUCUGUUUUGCCACACUUGACCCAUGUACUACUGGGUCUUGUAAAGAUGUAUAUUCACAAUGUGAAAGUAUUACAAGACCUUGGAAAGGUGUAUGGUUAGAAUGUGAAAGUUAAAUAUCUGAAAUUUUGAUGCCGCUUUGCUCACAAUGUCAUCCUUUAUCCUUUAAACCUGGAGUUGUCUGAGGUGGUUUGCAAACUGCAAAGCGCCCUGUUCCCAAUGAUGCACCUGAGAAGUCUGUAAAUGGGGUAAAUUUAGGCAAACACACCUGGAAAAGUGGCAUUUUGGAGUGGGGAAUGCUGUGGCCGGAGGUUAGCAACCGGAUGAUGCAAAAGCGUAUUUAAGGCAGCAGUUCUGGCCUUUCCCCGCCACGGAGCAGAAGCCCCCAUAGUGAUGUGAGAAGCGGCGCUGUCCCAGUUUACUAGGAUGGGAUGGGCUUUGGAUCUAACCAGCAGCGAAGAAAACCUGCGGUGCGGCUGCGCUCGGUAGUAGGGGUCCACAAAGCGUCAGAAUCUGCAGCAGCCCCGGCCUUUGCGAGCUCCAGCUCCGAAGUCAACCCGGCCCCCAAAUUCCACUGGGAAACCUUAAGACACCGGUGUUUUUACCGUAAGAAGACCUCAGAAGCCCAUGGAAACAAGGCGAUGACGGCGCUUGAGGGUGACCAGACCUCCUCAAUCAUUCCAUCAGCCACCCAGGACUCAACAGCAGAACCUCAGAGGACUCAGCUGAAAGAGGUUUUCACUCGAGCACUAACCACAGAGAAAUGGGAAGUGCCAUCCUGCUGUCAUACGCAGCCGAUGGCUGGGUAGGACUAAAUGCCCUUCUGUGGUGAGAUGAACCAAGACGGCAGAUGGGGGAAUAACAUCAGUGAGAGAGAGAUUACGAAUGGAUCCUUGUAUUGCAGAUCAAACUGGGUUGUCUCUUCUCAAACCACCCAGGCAGUUUCUGAAUGUCCCAAGAUAGGGGUAGGAGAAAAGAAAAAAAAGACAAAACAGGAGACGGUGGGUAAGAAAACCUAAAAGGCACAAUGAGGCAAAGGCCUAAGAUGGAGGCUGGCUUUGGGAUCUGAAAUCCGGCCACAAUCCUCCUUGUUUUACCUCAAGUCCAAGAAUUGUCAAAAAGAAAACCCAGAAGGGCUAUUCAUUCUAAAUUUUAAAAUCUUUUCUUCCUGGCCUACCAAGUCCUUGUGUUUUCUUUCUAGGCGCCCAUAAAUACAACCCCAUUACAGUUCUAUUUGGCUAAUAAUUUACAGAACAUUUAAAAUACCGGGUAGGUGAACAUCUCUUCAUGGCUUUUGUGUAAGGGCCUGAAGCGAAGAGAAAAACAACUGAUUGGAGAUUCCUAUCUGGCGCCUUCUCCAGGGAAACUGACAACCAGAGAAAUCUGUUGCUAGGAUUUCUAGGACAUCUGGAAAUUCCCUUUUUGUUCUUUCUCAACAAUAUAAAAUGGUAUAUUCGCAAACCUAUCUGAAUCACCUCAAUCUAGGCCACUUUGAAAAUUUCAUUUAAAAAUGUAAUCACAGAUUUUUAAACUAAUUACCCAAUUUGCAAACAAAUCCCAGCUACUUCUGGUCUUGAACAUGGAGCAAAGGUGUGUCAGUAAGGCCAACAUUCUUAGGUUGACAGAGACAGGUUAACACAUUGGCUGGCU
rnacentral:lncRNA from 1 species